rnacentral:rRNA from 1 species
UACGAGGGGUGCAAGCGUUGUUCGGAAUUACUGGGCGUAAAGCGCGUGUAGGUGGUUGAAUGUGUCGAAUGUGAAAUCCCUAGGCUUAACCUAGGAAGUGCGUUCGAAACUGUUCAACUCGAGUACGGGAGAGGAGGGCGGAAUUCCCAGUGUAGAGGUGAAAUUCGUAGAUAUUGGGAGGAACACCGGAGGCGAAAGCGGCUCUCUAGACCGUAACUGACACUGAGACGCGAAAGCGUGGGGAUCAAACAGG